UGGGGAAUAUUGGACAAUGCGGGAAACCGUGAUCCAGCCAUGCCGCGUGAGUGAUGAAGGCCUUAGGGUUGUAAAGCUCUUUUACCAGGGAUGAUAAUGACAGUACCUGGAGAAUAAGCUCCGGGUAAGACCGUGCCAGCAGCCGCGGUAAUACGGCGGGAGCAAGCGUUGUUCGGAAUUACUGGGCGUAAAGCGCGCGUAGGCGCCUAUUCAAGUCAGGGGUGAAAUCCCGGGGCUCAACCGCGGAACUGCCCUUGAAACUAGGUAGCUAGAAUACUGGAGAGGUGAGUGGAAUUCCGAGUGUAGAGGUGAAAUUCGUAGAUAUUCGGAAGAACACCAGUGGCGAAGGCGACUCACUGGACAGUUAUUGACGCUGAGGUGCGAAAGCGUGGGGAGCAAACAGGAUUAGAUACCCCCGUAGUCC
rnacentral:rRNA from 1 species